rnacentral:lncRNA from 1 species
CCGCCGCUGUGAGGUGCCCGUCCGCCUGCGUCCCGCCGCCCGGCAGAGGGGUGGGAGGUCGGCGGCGCCGCGAAAUGGCCGCCGAGCCGCUUCGGAGGCGCCGCGCGCCCCUGCGCUGAGGAGAAGGCGCCGGGGCGGGACGCGGGGCUGCAGCGCUGCGGGUUUAAAGUAAAACAAAAGGCGCCUGUGUGUCCUCUGCGGCGCUUCGGCGUGUUUGUCCAGCGUGGGGUCACCCGGCUCUUCCGGCCAGCGCGGAUGGUGACAGGUGAUCCAGAUGUGAUUGCAAUGUUCUUCUAUCUGCUUCUUUCCUUGGAGGUACACAGCUCUGCCUCAGAAAAGAUGACACUAAUGAAGAGGGAGUGAUCUUCCAUUGGUGCAGUGGUAUGGUACCCCGAUUAGUCCAAUAGCACCUCCCUCCCCUGACUGUCCAGGUCAUUUAGGAAGAUGCUGCUCAAGGUAAGUAAGGGUAUCACCAUCUCGACCAAAGAUUUCUAUCAGUGAAAGAC